GACGAACGCUGGCGGCGUGCUUAACACAUGCAAGUCGAGCGAGGCCCCUCCUUCGGGAGGGUGUCCUAGCGGCGAACGGGUGAGUAACACGUGGGCAACCUGCCCUCAGCUCUGGGAUAACUCCGGGAAACCGGGGCUAAUACCGGAUACGACCUCCACGGGCAUCUGCGGAGGUGGAAAGUUUUUCGGCUGAGGAUGGGCCCGCGGCCUAUCAGCUAGUUGGUGGGGUAGUGGCCCACCAAGGCGACGACGGGUAGCCGGCCUGAGAGGGCGACCGGCCAGAUGGGGAGUGAGAGGAGGCCCAGACGGCAAGGGGAGGCAGAAGGGGGGAAUGGGGCGCAAGGGGCGGAAGGGGGAUGAAGCAACUCCGAGGGGGGGAUGAAGGACGUUGGGGUGAAAAACGAAUGCGCCAGGGACGAACCGUGAGUGACGGGAAGGGGUAAAGAAGCAACGGCUAACUACGUG
rnacentral:rRNA from 1 species